UACGUAGGGGGCAAGCGUUGUCCGGAUUUAUUGGGCGUAAAGAGCGUGUAGGCGGCUUUACAGGUCCGUUGUGAAAACUCGAGGCUCAACCUCGAGACGCCGGUGGAAACCGUAAAGCUAGAGUCCGGAAGAGGAGAGUGGAAUUCCUGGUGUAGCGGUGAAAUGCGUAGAUAUCUGGAGGAACACCGGUGGCGAAGGCGGCAUCCUGGACCGACACUGACGCUGAGGAGCGAAAGCCAGGGGAGCAAACGGG
rnacentral:rRNA from 1 species